rnacentral:lncRNA from 10 species
GUUCAAGCAGUUCUCCUGUCUCAGCCUCCUGAAUAGCUGGGAUUACAGGCGCCCGCCACCAUGCCCGGCUAAUUUUUGUAGUUUUGGUAGAGACAGGGUUUCACCAUGUUGGCCAGGCUGGUCUCCAACUCAUGACCUCAGGUGAUCCGCCCGCCUCCGCCUCCCAAAGUGUUGGGAUUACAGGCGUGAGCCACGGCGCCCGGCGGGCAAGACACCCUCAGAGCACAGGGUGCUGCCAAGAGCCCGGCCGAGUGCAGCUGGAGCGCCGACGUCGCCAAGGAUACACAGUGC